rnacentral:rRNA from 1 species
GAAGCGUUGCUUCUCGAAAGUUAGCGGCGGACGGGUGAGUAACACGUAGGCAACCUGCCUGCAAGACCGGGAUAACAUUCGGAAACGAAUGCUAAUACCGGAUACGCAAUUGAGCCGCAUGGCUGAAUUGGGAAAGACGGAGCAAUCUGUCACUUGCAGAUGGGCCUGCGGCGCAUUAGCUAGUUGGUGGGGUAACGGCUCACCAAGGCGACGAUGCGUAGCCGACCUGAGAGGGUGAUCGGCCACACUGGGACUGAGACACGGCCCAGACUCCUACGGGAGGCAGCAGUAGGGAAUCUUCCGCAAUGGACGAAAGUCUGACGGAGCAACGCCGCGUGAGUGAUGAAGGUUCUCGGAUCGUAAAGCUCUGUUGCCAGGGAAGAACACUUGAAAGAGUAACUGCUCUUGAGUUGACGGUACCUGAGAAGAAAGCCCCGGCUAACUACGUGCCAGCAGCCGCGGUAAUACGUAGGGGGCAAGCGUUGUCCGGAAUUAUUGGGCGUAAAGCGCGCGCAGGCGGCUUUGUAAGUCUGGUGUUUAAGCUCGGGGCUCAACCCCGAUUCGCACCGGAAACUGCAAGGCUUGAGUGCAGAAGAGGAAAGUGGAAUUCCACGUGUAGCGGUGAAAUGCGUAGAGAUGUGGAGGAACACCAGUGGCGAAGGCGACUUUCUGGGCUGUAACUGACGCUGAGGCGCGAAAGCGUGGGGAGCAAACAGGAUU